rnacentral:rRNA from 1 species
UACGUAGGGUGCGAGCGUUGUCCGGAAUUAUUGGGCGUAAAGAGCUCGUAGGCGGUCUGUCGCGUCGGUCGUGAAAACUUGGGGCUUAACCCUGAGCUUGCGGUCGAUACGGGCAUGACUGGAGUUCGGCAGGGGAGACUGGAAUUCCUGGCGUAGCGGUGAAAUGCGCAGAUAUCAGGAGGAACACCGGUGGCGAAGGCGGGUCUCUGGGCCGAUACUGACGCUGAGGAGCGAAAGCGUGGGGAGCGAACAGG